GAGAAUUUUUUUUUUUUUUCCCUUUAUUAUUUUAUUUUUAUUUUAAAUUAAUAAAAAAAUAUAAUAAAAAUAAAAAUAUAAUAAUAAUAAUAAAAAAAAAUAUUUACCUUUCCUUUGGGGCAUUACAAACACUUACACCGUCUACCGUCAACUAAGUACCAAAUCCUUCACUUUUGAUCGUUCGUCGCCUGCUGUCCAUUGUGUACCAGAACCUAGCAACACUUCCACCAUUCGACCGUUUUGUUGGUGCCUUUAUGUUAUCGUUGCUCAAUGGUAUGCUUUUCUUUGAUCUGGGCUAAAAUCUCAUGGCAACAACAAGCAAGAUGACCCCAACAAGAAGGACAAGAAACAACACCCUUCAUCGUCGUAUUGGCGAUCUCUUUGAGGUUGUUGCAUCUGUACUCAGAAAAAAUGGUGGAUCAAUGCGCGUUAGGAUGGAUCUUGGCCUCUCUUCUCAAAGCUUUGGCUUUAUAUUUAUUGUUCGGCAAGAAAAACUGUGGAGUUUCGAAUGAAUGGAGGUGUGAAAGCCUAAAGAAUAUCGCCACCACGGAUGGGGAAUGCAAAUCGAGUAAUAGCGACAGCGACAUUAUCAUUGUCGAAGUCGGUGUCGCCAAUCCUGUCUUGCCUAUACUCUCGCCAAGAUUCUGGCGGUGAAGAAGAUCAUGAAACGGAGGACACUGAUGGUGUGGAAGUGGAACAUCUACACAUUUCAGAUUACCAAGGUUUUGCACUAAUAUCCGAUUGAUUUACUAUAGUGAUGAAGCUACCAAGCAAGUGAUUGAUAUUUGAUUAGUGACAAGACUUGUUGUAAUUUCGUUAUCCACGACAAUACCUUGUAUUUAGUUUCUUUGUAAAAAUAUAUUACCAAGGUUUAGUUUCUAUUUUACUUGUAUUUAUCCCUUUGGGAAAAUUCGAUAGAUUUUGUGUACUUAGUUUCUUUGUAAAAAUGUUAACUAUGUUAUUGUUAUAUAUGAAAGUUCUUAUUUAUA